AUUGAACGCUGGCGGCAUGCUUUACACAUGCAAGUCGGACGGCAGCACAGAGAAGCUUGCUUCUUGGGUGGCGAGUGGCGAACGGGUGAGUAACAUAUCGGAACGUACCGAGCAGUGGGGGAUAACUAAUCGAAAGAUUAGCUAAUACCGCAUAUCUUCUGAGGAAGAAAGCAGGGGACCAUUUGGCCUUGCGCUGUUUGAGCGGCCGAUAUCUGAUUAGCUAGUUGGUGGGGUAAAGGCCUACCAAGGCGACGAUCAGUAGCGGGUCUGAGAGGAUGAUCCGCCACACUGGGACUGAGACACGGCCCAGACUCCUACGGGAGGCAGCGGUGGGGAAUUUUGGACAAUGGGCGCAAGCCUGAUCCAGCCAUGCCGCGUGUCUGAAGAAGGCCUUCGGGUUGUAAAGGACUUUUGUCAGGGAAGAAAAGGGCGGGGUUAAUACCCCUGUCUGAUGACGGUACCUGAAGAAUAAGCACCGGCUAACUACGUG
rnacentral:rRNA from 1 species